rnacentral:rRNA from 1 species
GACGAACGCUGGCGGCGUGCUUAACACAUGCAAGUCGAGCGGUAAGGCCCUUUCGGGGUACACGAGCGGCGAACGGGUGAGUAACACGUGGGUGACCUGCCCUCAGCUCUGGGAUAAGCCUGGGAAACCGGGUCUAAUACUGGAUAUGACUCCAUGACGCAUGUUGUGGGGUGGAAAGCCUUGUGCGGCUGAGGAUGGGCCCGCGGCCUAUCAGCUUGUUGGUGGGGUGANGGCCUACCAAGGCGACGACGGGUAGCCGGCCUGAGAGGGCGACCGGCCACACUGGGACUGAGACACGGCCCAGACUCCUACGGGAGGCAGCAGUGGGGAAUCUUGCGCAAUGGGCGAAAGCCUGACGCAGCGACGCCGCGUGAGGGAUGACGGCCUCGG